AGCUGGAACUUGCACCCGGCCAGCCUGGCUCCAGAGUUCACUGCCCUCCUCCUGUACAGCACGUGUGACCUGCAGUAAUCACCGCCCAAACAGGCACUGCGGGUAGCCAAGCACACGUCAUCUGACUUCAGCACGGAGGAAGGUUCGUUUCCAUUCUGGUGUUCAGCUCAGUUAGGACUGUUUUUAUCACCACAAGGACGCACAACUCAGAAAGCUCAGUCACGUGUCAUUGCCUUCUACGGUCAUGGUUUUCUACUUUUUGGCCCCAUUUUCCUGCCCACUUGGCCUGCUGGGAAGUGAAUGAUGCGUUACUUCUACAGAAUGCAGUGUGCUGACGCUUCGCUGCCUGCACUGACCGUCAGGCUCUCGCGUGUUUGGAAGGAGUCCACUGAAUUUCCAUGGAAACCCGGUCUCUGCCGAUGGACCCGGUCUAGGAAGGGUUCCUGGAAUGGAGCACAAGGCUUCGGCACUCAGGAGCUCUGA
rnacentral:lncRNA from 10 species